rnacentral:rRNA from 1 species
UACGAAGGGGGCUAGCGUUGCUCGGAAUCACUGGGCGUAAAGGGCGCGUAGGCGGAUCUUUAAGUCGGGGGUGAAAGCCCAGGGCUCAACCCUGGAAUUGCCUUCGAUACUGGAGAUCUUGAGACCGGAAGAGGUAAGUGGAACUGCGAGUGUAGAGGUGAAAUUCGUAGAUAUUCGCAAGAACACCAGUGGCGAAGGCGAGUCCCUGGACAACUCCUGACGCUGAGGCAACGAAAGCUAGGGGAGCAAACAGG